rnacentral:rRNA from 1 species
GGGAAUAUUGGACAAUGGGCGAAAGCCUGAUCCAGCCAUGCCGCGUGUGUGAUGAAGGCCUUAGGGUUGUAAAGCACUUUUGUCAGGGAAGAUAAUGACGGUACCUGAAGAAUAAGCACCGGCUAACUUCGUGCCAGCGGCCGCGGUAAUACGAAGGGUGCUAGCGUUGUUCGGAAUCACUGGGCGUAAAGCGCGCGUAGGCGGCUUAGCAAGUCAGAGGUGAAAGCCCGGGGCUCAACCCCGGAAUUGCCUUUGAAACUGCUAAGCUAGAGUGUCGGAGGGGAUAGCGGAAUUCCUAAUGUAGAGGUGAAAUUCGUAGAUAUUAGGAGGAACACCGGUGGCGAAGGCGGCUAUCUGGACGACAACUGACGCUGAGGCGCGAAAGCGUGGGGAUCAAACA